rnacentral:rRNA from 1 species
GACAGGAGGGUGCGUAACGUUGCUCGGAAUCACUGGGCGUAAAGCGCGCGUAGGCGGACCGGAAAGUCGGUUGUGAAAUCCCUGGGCUCAACCCAGGAACUGCAUCCGAAACUCCCGGUCUCGAGUGGACGGAGAGGAUAGUGGAAUUCCCGGUGUAAGAGGUGAAAUUCGUAGAUAGAUUGGGAGGAACACCAGGUGGGCGAAGGCGCUACUCUGGGACGUCCACGUGACGCUGAAGGCGGCGAAAGCGUGGGGAGCAAACAGG